UCUUUAGUGGCUCAGAUGGUAAAGAAUCUGCCUGCAAUGCAGGAGACCUGGGUUUGAUUCCUGGGUAGGGAA
rnacentral:tRNA from 1 species